rnacentral:rRNA from 1 species
GACGAACGCUGGCGGCGUGCUUAACACAUGCAAGUCGAACGGAAAGGCCCUGCUUUUGUGGGGUGCUCGAGUGGCGAACGGGUGAGUAACACGUGAGUAACCUGCCCUUGACUUUGGGAUAACUUCAGGAAACUGGGGCUAAUACCGGAUAGGAGCUCCUGCUGCAUGGUGGGGGUUGGAAAGUUUCGGCGGUUGGGGAUGGACUCGCGGCUUAUCAGCUUGUUGGUGGGGUAGUGGCUUACCAAGGCUUUGACGGGUAGCCGGCCUGAGAGGGUGACCGGCCACAUUGGGACUGAGACACGGCCCAGACUCCUACGGGAGGCAGCAGUGGGGAAUAUUGCACAAUGGGCGGAAGCCUGAUGCAGCAACGCCGCGUGCGGGAUGACGGCCUUCGGGUUGUAAACCGCUUUCGCCUGUGACGAAGCGUGAGUGACGGUAAUGGGUAAAGAAGCACCGGCUAACUACGUGCCAGCAGCCGCGGUGAUACGUAGGGUGCGAGCGUUGUCCGGAUUUAUUGGGCGUAAAGGGCUCGUAGGUGGUUGAUCGCGUCGGAAGUGUAAUCUUGGGGCUUAACCCUGAGCGUGCUUUCGAUACGGGUUGACUUGAGGAAGGUAGGGGAGAAUGGAAUUCCUGGUGGAGCGGUGGAAUGCGCAGAUGUCAGGAGGAACACCAGUGGCGAAGGCGGUUCUCUGGGCCUUUCCUGACGCUGAGGAGCGAAAGCGUGGGGAGCGAACAGGCUUAGAUACCCUGGUAGUCCACGCUGUAAACGGUGGGUACUAGGUGUGGGGUCCAUUCCACGGGUUCCGUGCCGUAGCUAACGCUUUAAGUACCCCGCCUGGGGAGUACGGCCGCAAGGCUAAAACUCAAAGGAAUUGACGGGGCCCCGCACAAGCGGCGGAGCAUGCGGAUUAAUUCGAUGCAACGCGUAGAACCUUACCUGGGUUUGACAUGGAUCGGGAGCGCUCAGAGAUGGGUGUGCCUCUUUUGGGGUCGGUUCACAGGUGGUGCAUGGCUGUCGUCAGCUCGUGUCGUGAGAUGUUGGGUUAAGUCCCGCAACGAGCGCAACCCUUGUUCACUGUUGCCAGCACGUUAUGGUGGGGACUCAGUGGAGACCGCCGGGGUCAACUCGGAGGAAGGUGGGGAUGACGUCAAGUCAUCAUGCCCCUUAUGUCCAGGGCUUCACGCAUGCUACAAUGGCUGGUACAGAGAGUGGCGAGCCUGUGAGGGUGAGCGAAUCUCGGAAAGCCGGUCUCAGUUCGGAUUGGGGUCUGCAACUCGACCUCAUGAAGUCGGAGUCGCUAGUAAUCGCAGAUCAGCAACGCUGCGGUGAAUACGUUCCCGGG